UGGUGAAUAUUGCACAAUGGGCGCAAGCCUGAUGCAGCCAUGCCGCGUGUGUGAAGAAGGCCUUCGGGUUGUAAAGCACUUUCAGCGAGGAGGAAGGUGGUGGACUUAAUACGUUCAUCAAUUGACGUUACUCGCAGAAGAAGCACCGGCUAACUCCGUGCCAGCAGCCGCGGUAAUACGGAGGGUGCAAGCGUUAAUCGGAAUUACUGGGCGUAAAGCGCACGCAGGCGGUUUGUUAAGUCAGAUGUGAAAUCCCCGGGCUCAACCUGGGAACUGCAUUUGAAACUGGCAAGCUAGAGUCUCGUAGAGGGGGGUAGAAUUCCAGGUGUAGCGGUGAAAUGCGUAGAGAUCUGGAGGAAUACCGGUGGCGAAGGCGGCCCCCUGGACGAAGACUGACGCUCAGGUGCGAAAGCGUGGGGAGCAAACAGAUUAGAUACCCUGGUAGUCCACGCUGUAAACGAUGUCGAUUUUGGAGGUUGUGCCCCUUGAGGCGU
rnacentral:rRNA from 1 species